ACAGUGAAAUUCACUGUAAGGGCGGUUCAACACCAGCCGCCCUUACAGUGGCUCACUGUAAGUGCGGUUGGAAGCAACAACCGCCCUUACUAGUGACCACUUUAAGAGUGGCUGGUGCUUCCAGCCGUCCUUAUAGUGAGCAUUAGAAAGGGCGGCUUGUGUCUCAGCCGCCUCUAUUGUCUGCAUUUGCAAGGGUGGCUCAAUCUAGAACCGCCCCUACAGUUAUUUUUCAGAAAAAAAUAAAAAUUACAAUAAUCGAGUUGACAGCACAACACAACACCACAUACAUAUAUACAUAUAUAAUCAGAUUCUCAACAUCACAGAUUCACAACAUAAAUAUCCAUACAUAUACACAGCACCACAUUUCAAGUCCAAAAUGUUUCCUAGUCCAUUACAAAUCCAUCCAAAAGAGACCAAAAUUUUUCAAGUACUAAUACAAAUCGAUCACUCCAUUCCAACAAGUUCACAUGUAAUCAACGACCUAGACAUAGCCUAUCCCACUGACGGAGGUGCUGGUAAAGAGGAUUGCUACCUAAGUCGGAAUGUGGGUUAUGGUAAUCACCUUUGUUAGCAACAAUUAUUAGCUAUCAUUAUUAGUAAUAAUUGUGUUAGAAACGAUUAUUAGACAUAAUUAAUAUUACCAAUUAUUAUCUACCAUUAUUAGCAACAAUUAAUAAGUAACAAUUAUUAUCUACCAUUAUUAGCAACAAUUAUUAGCUAUCAUGAUUAGUAAUAAUUGUGUUAGAAAAGAUUAUUAGACAUAAUUAAUAUUACCAAUUAUUAUCUACCAUUAUUAGAAACAAUUAAUAUUAACAACAACUAUUAGUUUACCAAUAACUAUUCAUGCCAACCACAUUCCAAAUUCAUGAAAAAAAACAAAAAAAGAAACCCUAGAUCUAGAAUGCCUUUUCUCUCCAUACAUGAAACUACAAUUAAUCUCCAAUAAAAUCAAGCUAUAUCACCUAAUUGAUGGUGCAAGGUGGUGUCUCUACCUAUUCUACACUAAUAGCAUCGUAGAUAAGCUCUAAUUUUGUCAACACAAAGCUCAAGCUCCAUGGAAGAGAGAGAAAACCAAAAUAUAAAUUGCUCACUAACCAACCAAUAAAACUUGGAUUAGAGGGUGGGAAUAGCAUUUUCUUACCUUAAACAAGCUCCCCACCAAAGGAUUUAAGUUCAAAACCUCCCCCCCUUCCUAGAGUGAUUUUGGGGAGGUGCCCAAGGCCUCCCAAACCUUUUUUUGCGAGUGGAAGUGAGUGGCUCGGGG
rnacentral:lncRNA from 1 species